AACGAACGCUGGCGGCAUGCCUAACACAUGCAAGUCGAACGAGACCUUCGGGUCUAGUGGCGCACGGGUGCGUAACGCGUGGGAACCUGCCUUUAGGUUCGGAAUAACUCAGGGAAAUUUGAGCUAAUACCGGAUGAUGUCUUCGGACCAAAGAUUUAUCGCCUUUAGAUGGGCCCGCGUUGGAUUAGCUAGUUGGCGGGGUAAAGGCCUACCAAGGCGACGAUCCAUAGCUGGUCUGAGAGGAUGAUCAGCCACACUGGGACUGAGACACGGCCCAGACUCCUACGGGAGGGAGCAGUGGGGAAUAUUGGAGAAUGGGCGAAAGCCUGAUCCAGCAAUGCCGCGUGAGUGAUGAAGGCCUUAGGGUUGUAAAGCUCUUUUACCCGAGAUGAUAAUGACAGUAUCGGGAGAAUAAGCUCCGGCUAACUCCGUG
rnacentral:rRNA from 1 species